rnacentral:rRNA from 1 species
AUUGAACGCUGGCGGCAGGCCUAACACAUGCAAGUCGAGCGAGCGGCGGACGGGUGAGUAAUGUAUGGGGAACUGCCCGAUAGAGGGGGAUAACUACUGGAAACGGUGGCUAAUACCGCAUACUAUCGGAUGACCCCAUAUGGGAUUAGCUAGUAGGUGGGGUAACGGCUCACCUAGGCGACGAUCCCUAGCUGGUCUGAGAGGAUGAUAAGCCACACUGGAACUGAGACACGGCCCAGACUCCUACGGGAGGCAGCAGUGGGGAAUAUUGCACAAUGGGCGCAAGCCUGAUGCAGCCAGGCCGCGUGUAUGAAGAAGGCCUUAGGGUUGUAAAGUACUUUCAGCGGGGAGGCGUUACUCGCAGAAGAAGCACCGGCUAACUCCGUGCCAGCAGCCGCGGUAAUAC